CCUAAAAGAGAAAAGGAUACAAGCCUGGACUGCCAAAGAGACUUUUAGAAGAGCUGUGUUUUGAUUAUUGGGUUUUCUCACAGAUUCUGCUUUUGGCACCGAAGAGCUGACUAUGUGGAAGGAGAAGAGUGCAGGCGUGAAGAUUCUCUGGCUAUGGACCGUCGGAACCGCUGCAGUUCUCGUGACCAGUGUUGUGAGGACGAGAGUAAGAGACAUGGAAAAGCUUAUGAAUGCUGAACAGGGAGAAGUCAGUCAACCUGAGUCAACUCUCAUCAACGACUCGCCCGAGUGGGUUAAUGUUAUUAAAGAAGAAGAAUCAUAGCUCAUAGUUGUGAAGCCCACAACAUGCAACUACGAUGCUGGCUUGGUCCUCGAUACGGUAACCCUUCAUUUUUUGUAAGAUUUGGAAUCUAUUUUUCAAUACACCAAAGGUUCUUUCAAUAACAUUCCGUAAGGAAGAAUGUCUGUGGUUGAACAACUCCUUCGGCGUUCUUGCACUCCUCUCCCCACUAAAAUCUGGUAGGUGAUAUUUUUCUCCUCGAAAGGGUGUUAAAUACCCAAGUUGACUUGCGUAACCUGAGUCCACAGCAUAAUACUUGCCUUCAAGUAUUAUGGAUAAUGUUUAUACAAGUGAGUAUAUCAGUCUAAAAAGACACUUAACGUAUAAGUGAUUUGUUUGUUGUGAAUUACCUGGAGGAGGAUGAGGAAAACCUAAAGUAGAAUUUGAUCUUGCCUCUUCAAAAACCCGAGCAUCAUGUGCACUACCUUCCUAGCCCGCGUACACAAAUGUGAAAUGGAUGUCGAACGAAUAAGCACACAUAACAUUUUGUGUGAUCAAUGCCUUUCGAUUUUUGUAUCGGGUUUGCUCUGAUCUGGGUACUAUGGCACUAAUAUGAGUGCCAUCAAUAGCACCAAUGCAAUCCUAAAUGAAACACAAUAUGGAUAUCUAUUAGAAUUCAUUCAUUAACUAGUAAUUGAUAAUAUUUGCACUUAGCAUAAAUCAUAAAAGGUUACCUGGAAGAAAGGGCUAAAGUUUGGGUUAUGUUGAAUCUCUGAGGGGACCACAUCAAAAUUAGGUGGUCUGAUUGUUUCAUUCGCUAGUUGAACCAUAGCGUGCAACACUUUUUGAAAUACAACACUAAUUAUCUGUCCAUAUCGUUGAAAUUUCUUUGCAACCUGUCUAGUACUGCUUCCAUGCGCUACUAUUACAAUAAAAAUUCCAAGUUGUUCAUCUACCCGUAUAUGACAACUAUCAUCUAACCAUCCUCUAUGUAUCAUCAUAUCAUGUAGAUUGAGGAAGACAUGUCUCUCAACUCUAAAUUCAAUGUAGCAUAGAUUUGAAUGUCCAUUCAAUGUCUCUGUGACCAUGAUAGCUCCUGUGUAGUUACUAUCCAUACAUGGUUCUCUAAUCCGAAGGUAAUCUAAAAACGUUUGGAAUGUAUAUAGGAUGUUGUCAUCAUCACUGGAUGAAUCAUCUUCGAAAUUGGUAGGAUUCAUUGCCAUACUUGUAUAUAAAUGAAUAUGAGUAUCAAAAUACUACAUAAUAAGAACUAAAAAAAUGCAUUAAUCAAUAAGGCAAUAACAAAUAUCCAUGUCAUCCUUAAAAAAUAAUGUAAACAUAUCAAUAUAUGGAAGAAACUCCCAUAUCCUACUUUUAAAUCAAAUCAUCCAUCAAAAUCAAUCAAACAAACAAAUAUCCAUAUCAUCCUCAAAUAAACACCCGUAUCCUACUUUUAAAUCAAAAUAUCCAUCAAAAUUAACAAGCAAAGAAAUAUCCAUAUCAUCCUUAAAGAAAUUCCCCUAUUCUACUUUUAAAUCAAACCAUCCGUCAAAAUCAAACAAACAAAUAUCCAUGUCAUCCUCAAAUUUAAAAAGAAACCUAUUGUUUUCAAGAAACUCCCAAAUCCUACUUCAAUUCUCUAAUCAUCCACAUCAUUUUUUCAGCAACAACGUCUACAAAUGAUAUUCCCCAAACAGCACUCUUGUGUAUCUUUUGUUGAGCCUUCACCCACAUCUCUUCUGUUAACUCUGUCAUGUUGUCCAACAAUACCUGACAUGCUUUGAUGUUGUACAUUCCAUCCACUAGAUUAUUGACAGUUGGAAGAACUGUUUUGGAAAUGGGAGUACUACUACCCCCCCUUCCAUUUUCCAGGCCACAUGAGCUGAAGUCAUGUUCAGAUUUGGUAAUGACUUUUGUUGUACUCUUCUUCCUUCGGUCUGUGGGAGUUCUAUCACGCUUCCACUUUGUUGUAGAACGACUGACCACUUCGUCAACAUCUGUAGGCUCUAUAUCAUCCAGACCUACUAAAUCUUCAGGGGAAUCAUGUGUAUCAUUCUCAUCCUCACAAUCAAGAUUAAUGUCGAUGGACUUUUGCUUCCCAGCAGUAUGCUGAGAUGCUCCUCUAUCUCCUCGAGCACUUGAGUCUGAGAAGACCUCUAACAACUCUAACCACCAUGGAAGUCCACUCUUUCGGAAUUUGAUCCAAUUUGGAUUUGCCUAUAAUCCAAAAUAA